rnacentral:rRNA from 1 species
CACGUAGGGUGCGAGCGUUGUCCGGAAUCACUGGGCGUAAAGGGCGCGUAGGUGGCGACCCAAGUCGAUGGUGAAAGCUCGCCGCUCAACGGCGAGUCGGCCACCGAUACUGGGUUGCUUGAGCACUGUAGAGGCUAAUGGAAUUCCGGGUGUAGCGGUGGAAUGCGUAGAGAUCCGGAAGAACACCGGUGGCGAAGGCGGUUAGCUGGGCAGUUGCUGACACUGAGGCGCGACAGCGUGGGGAGCAAACAGG